CCCGCAAAAAAACCAGCCUCUCGAUCCCAUCCCCGAUCUCCAGACUCUGGAUAGGUGCUCUUUCGUUGCCGCCGCCGCCGCUGUCCGAGGGGAGACGUCGCCGCCGCCGAGGGGAGACGCCGCCACCCGGGGGAGACGCCACCGCCGCCCUUGGCGCUGUAUUCCCUCGACGCCUUCUUCCGGAACGCCGCGGAGAAGAAGACCGCGGGGGCGCAGCAGGAGGAGCCCUCACCGCCAGCCGUCGCGACAGUUGCCGCCGCGGACUCCCUCCUCGCCAAUCUGUUCGCGGGCGUCUCGGCCGUCAAGGCGGCCUACACGCAGCUGAAGCUCGCGCAGUUCCCCUAUGAUGCAGAGGCCAUUCAGUCCGCGGACGCUGCCGUGGUCGCGGAGCUCACCAAGCUGUCCGACACCAAGCGGAGGUUCCUCAAGGAUCCCACAGGCGCGGCCAGGGAAGCCGCGGCCGCGGGCAACACCGCCCUCUCCACGCAUGCCGAGGAGCAGCGCCAUCUGCUCAAGACGUACCAGAUCACGGCGCGCAAGCUGGAGGCGGAGCUCCGUGCGAAGGAUGCGGAGCUCGACCGCGCCAAGGGCUCCCUCGAUGCGGAUAACAUAAGCUCUUCUUUUCUCUUUUGUGUUUGAAUCAGAUUUGGUUGUCUCCAUUUUACAGGCAUGUAUUGAUCUUGGUCUUGUUCUAUAUGCAGGGUACACUCAAUGUUUCACGUUUGGUGAAAGAAAAGAGUCUGCUUUGUUGAUUUUGUGCAAGAUUGUAUGAUCUGCCAUGUAUUAGUAGAUCAGUUGCUUCUCUUUGUAGGGGGCGAUUACUGAUCCAAUCUAAUUUAUUUCAUCUAUGCCCAACUUGGUUCGAUCGAAUUUGCCAUAUAGUAGGCUUAUGAAUAUGUUUUAGUUUCUUUCAGCUGAAUAUAUAUCAGUCAUGUUUUACUGGCAUUUUAUCUUUCAAGAUGAAGGAGCGGAGUUACACAUGCGGAGCUGUUCAGGGUUCAAGGAGAUACACCCGAUUGAACAAGGUUGCAGCAGAAACUCAAGUCCAACAAUGUUCUUAGAGGCUUGUGAGUUAUUGGGCGUGAAGCCUGAAGAUAUUGUGCUCAGUCUAGAUGACUAAUCAGUUAGUGUAUUCUCACUAUUGCAUGCUCAGUUGUAAAUCCCAGUAUGCAAUAUUGCACACAACUUCUUUGUGCUUCAAAUGGUCAAGUGCUCACCUCCUCCUUUUAUUGGUUUGAGUAUUCAAGCUAUGCAUCUAGCUGAUUGGUGAUUCUGAUUUUGUAUUAAACUUUGCAUGUGUUACUUACAGUAGCAGUGCAUAAUUAGUGACAAAUCAAAUGUUGAAUCAGGGUCCUUUGUUGAUGACUUUGGAUCAUCAUUUAUUUCGAAAUGAGCUGAAUAUGGUUGCCUCCCUCCGUACCAUGAGGAAGUUAGUUCAAUGCGUUAAUCCCUGUUCCUUUCAUGUGUGGUUAGCUUUGUUCUAUACUUCCAUUCUUACUUGGAAUUUUUGUUCUAUAAUUUGGUGGCUGCUUACAUUUGGAUGAGAAGAAGCUCUCCGCGAGGGCAAGACCAGGAGCAUGAUGGGGACAGUAAGUGCAUUGAAGUGGGUCUUGCAGUCCAUAGUGGAUGGCCAGUGUAGCGUGCCAUCCAAACCUGUCAUCUGAUGAAGUCGGUUUGGUUAUGGGAAGCAUCUUUGUCAACCACUAUUCAUGUGCAGAAUUAAUUGAUUUGUUCAUCGUGGAGAUAGUUUUACUGGAAGGCUGUUGGCUUCCCCACAGGGUCCUUCGUUGAUGACUUUGGAUCAUCAUUUAUUCCGAAAUGAGCUGAAUAUGGUUGCCUCCCUCCGUUCCAUGAGGAAGUUAGUUCAAUGCGUUAAUCCCUGUUCCUUACAUGUGUGGUUUGCUUUGUUCUAUUCUGACAUUGAUGGAGACAGUAAGUACAUAGAUGUUAUCACUACUGCAAAUCUCAAACAUGUUUUGGCUUAUUCAAAGAUCACACAUGUUUCUUUCCCCAACAUCUAUUCCUAUUGCUCCAUUGACCUGAUUCUGAGUAUUUCCAUGCUAAAAAAUGAUGUUUCCGAACGAUGUAGGAUCAAUGGAAGAAAAUAUCCAAUGUGCCAGGUUAUGCACAACUCAACAUUUGACCUUUGUUAUUUGUAGGAGCAUCUCAUCUUGAAUACUGGUUCUUAGAGCAUUGUUCUCCAGCCCUUAUUUGCUUAACUUACUACAAUAUGCUCCUAAGACACAAAUUAUUCUUGUAUGUGUGUACGCUUACUUAGACACACUCCCCUACCUGAACCCUCAAUUCAUGUUGCAUCUUCUGAAUUCUUGUUUCUAUAUUGGUAUUUUUUUAGAAGUAUUUUUUCAGCAAAUGUUAACGACAGCUGAUAUCUAAGGUAAAAGUCCAGGAAGUUUUAUGUAAUAUGACAGAUAGAGGUUUGCGCGCGAGCUAUGGUACUACGCAGUGUAAGUACGACUUGUUUUGGUAUGAGUGUACUCUCGAGAAGGUUUGCGCAAAACCUUCUUCAUGGUCCUAAGUCAAUGGUAUACGGUUAUCCAGUAGUACUUGUUCUAGGAAGGCUAACCUUGGAUACAGUGACUUUUUAUAAGGUACUUUUGGUGUUUAACUCUGAUAGCUUUCACAUGUAGUGGUUCCAAGAACUUUGAUAUCACCCUUUACCUUGUAUUUGCGCAGUAGACAUAAACCUUCUGCAACUUACUACUCGAGGACAAAGAUUGUUAGCCAAUUUUUCAUGACUCGGCUCUAAAGCUACUUUGUUCUUUGCAGCCUUAUUUAUAUCUUUUUGACCUGGUUAUAAUUAUUGGUUGGUAUUAUUAUUAUUAUUAUUAUUAUUAUUUCGAGAAAACGCAAAGCGAUUUUGCGUUUCAUUGCAUUGAAAAGGUGGGAAAGUACAUGCCUCCUAGGAGGUUAUAUUUACAGGGUCCUAGCUGGUUGGUAUUAUUUUAUUCUUUUGGAUUACACAUCCUCUUCUUUUGCUAAAUAACAGCGAUUCUAGAUUGUGGAAUCCUUGAAAGGUUCUUUUUUAUUAACACAAUCUUGUUUCAGUUUAACAAAAUCAUGACCGGAAUGACACUAGGACCCAGUAUCAUGCCAACCAUUAGAUGAUCAAGAAGUUCAAGCUAUGCGUCGUGGCGGUUGGAGGGCAGCUAGAGCAGCGGCUUGUGACGAGGCAUGGCUAGCGGCAGCUGGAGGCGGAGCUGGUAGUGCGGUUUAUGGCCGACAUGGGGCUUGUCGGAGCCGAGGCCGACCACGGCGUGACGAGGCGGCUGGGAUAGGCGAGACGAGGGAGAGGGAGCCGGAGGGAGGAGAGGUCAGGUGGCGGCAUGGCUUGCCUCACCGGUGGCUGCGUGUGGUGUGCGUGUGUUGUGUCUGGGUGGGGGAGGGGGAAGAUAGAGGGACCACGUGGUGUUUUUUUAGUUGGACAUGCAAAGGUCCAAACUGCUACACAGCUCCUCCAGAUUUGUUCUGGUUUGCGGGAAAAUGAUAGUUUGGAAUGCUCCGCGGACCGACAGGGGGCCUCAUUGGAUGACAAAAGUCGACAAAUAUGGUCUGGACACUACAAUCCGGACAUAUUCUGGAGCUUUGAGGGUCUUCUUUGCAGAUGCCCUUAUCAUCUAAAUAAUCAACAUAUCAAGCGACAUGGUUUUUGCACUAGAGCUUCUAUAUCGCCGCCCCAUCUUCCGUUACAAUGUGGUCAGCUUGGACGACAUUGUGUUGAUUGCUCAUCGACCAUGGCCACAAAGAUGGCUCCCCCAUGAUGACUACACGUGAAGUCCAGCUGCCCACACCCCACACUGGCAGCCGUGCUAGGUCGCGUGACCGGCAUUGGCGCGUCCUCGUGGGUGGCGGUGAGGAGGACGGCCAGUGGCAGCCCCCCGAAGCACCAUCACGACGGCACCUCGCCGCGGCCGCUCGGCAUGGGUUGCCGCCCCGCGUCCUAGAGAUGGGGAAUCUUGUAGCUGGAGAUGUAUACAUGGUUGACUCAAUCCUAAUUGUUGGAAACAAUAUCACAGAUCAAAGCUUUAUCGAGUCUCAUAAAAUGUGUGAGAAGUGUGAGAAUAGAGUUCUCAAGAAGGAGGCAUCAUGGGCAUUGUGAAACGUAGCAGCAGGCAACUUUGGGCCAGGAAAUAUUGCAGGUUAUGAGGGUGUACCCCAAACAGUGCCCAAAGCAUGUGGAGAGGAAGGAUGCCCACGGGCAUUUGUUGGCGCAAGCUGAUGCGAUCCCGCUGUGGCAAUUGGGAUGGGUAGAUGGGGAGGCAUGGUGGAGGCCGGUGGCAGCAUCUGGCAAGAAAACAAUGAGCGCGGCGGCGGCAGUGUACAGUGGCAUGGCCGUUGUGUGGCAGCCGUCGCAUAGACGUCGAAGGAGCACCAGCGACGCGCACGCACACACAGACAGACACACUGAUGGUGCUGCUGGAGGCCAUGGGGCUGAGCAAGGAUGGCACUGGUAGCAUUACUAUCAAGAACACCGGCAUGGCAUUGAGUCUUGUUAUCUAUAAUGCACGCGACACAACAUGGUCGUCUUCCACCACACUGCGGCCUCCACACGACGCCUCCAACCCUCCAAAGCGUGUCACCUCAAUGGUCGCCGUCGCCUCAUGCUCCAGCUCUCCCAGCCACCGCCACAGGUCACCGCCUCUGUCCCUCCAAAGAACAGCGCCUCUCUUGUUGCAACCUCCUUGCCACGGUGACCAACGACGGGGAGGAGGAGGAGCUGGGCGAGGCAGAGAGGCCAAGGGCGAAGUGCUGUGGGUGCUUCAUUCGGAUAGAAGUCAAGGGCUGACUCCUUAAUAUCUUGCAGGCCUAAAGUUAUGUUAUUGGUUGCUACAGGUCACCACAUCCACUUCCUAGGGCCGCAAGCGGCAAUGGUGAGGAGGUGAGUGACAACGGGAGGCUAAGGUGAAACUGAUGAGAAGUAGUGUCGCUUCCUCAAUUAUGUGUAUGGAGAAGGGAAAAGUGUGGGUAGCUUUGAGGAUGCUAUUGGCAUAAUUACUUUUCCUCGAGAGCAGAGUUUCUGAAGUGUAUGGAGACGAGAAAGGAAACAGAGAAGUGGCCGGAUGGGCAAUCAACUCAUCUGUUGAUUGGAUUGGGGGGUGGCAUGAAGAAAGUAAAGGUGAAGAAAGCAAGCUGGACGCUAGGUGGCGGCACCAACAGGGGAAGUGUCAGGCGUGAACCAAACAUCUAUGGCUUGUUGCUUUGAAUCUUGCCGGUCUAGGCAAGACACGGGGGAAUUGCAUAAUGUAUUCUCUCCAGUGGAGUCUAUAUAGCCAUAUACUAUUCUUCAAACAAUGGAACAGCUGGAUGUCAGUGCCAACGAACUACCCACUCAAUUGUAGGCUCAACUCCAACCAGCUCCAUUCUAGGAAUAGAUGGAUUUGUAGUUUUCGACUCCAAAAAGUUUGUUGGGCCUCUACUUUGAGUGAGAACCAGACAGUCAUACUGCAAACACAUAAAAAAGUAAUGGUUGAAGUAAAGCAGAAUAAUAUUCUCAAGUUUAAUAUACAAAAGGAAAAUGAAAAGAUCAUGAUAACAAACAU